CUUGCGGCCAUAUCACGUUGAAACACCGGUUCUCGUACGAUCACCGAAGUUAAGCAACGUCGUGUCUAAUCAGCAGCUAGAUUGGUGACCAUUGUGAAUAUUAGGUGCU